GACGAACGCUGGCGGCGUGCUUAACACAUGCAAGUCGAACGGAAAGGCCCUGCUUUUGUGGGGUGCUCGAGUGGCGAACGGGUGAGUAACACGUGAGUAACCUGCCCUUGACUUUGGGAUAACUUCAGGAAACUGGGGCUAAUACCGGAUAGGAGCUCCUGCUGCAUGGUGGGGGUUGGAAAGUUUCGGCGGUUGGGGAUGGAUUCGCGGCUUAUCAGCUUGUUGGUGUGGUAGUGGCUUACCAAGGCUUUGACGGGUAGCCGGCCUGAGAGGGUGACCGGCCACAUUGGGACUGAGAUACGGCCCAGACUCCUACGGGAGGCAGCAGUGGGGAAUAUUGCACAAUGGGCGGAAGCCUGAUGCAGCAACGCCGCGUGCGGGAUGACGGCCUUCGGGUUGUAAACCGCUUUCGCCUGUGACGAAGCGUGAGUGACGGUAAUGGGUAAAGAAGCACCGGCUAACUACGUG
rnacentral:rRNA from 1 species